GGGAUCCUCCCGGGGUCAGAGUGGGCCUCCCAUGGGGCGUGGUUCUUCCCAGAAACUUGCUGUCUCUUGGAAACAGAGGUGGGUGUCCUCCGGGCCGCCGGUCCUGGGACCCCUCCAGACGCGCAUCGGCGAGGCCGCCUGUCCGUGGAUGUCCCCAGCCAAGGGGACUCCUGCUUGCAGUCCUGAGGCCUGGAACAAGGGGCGGCCAGGACCCCCAGAUGGAAGUGGCUCUCCAGGAAGUCACAGAUGUGGGGGUCUCCGCGGGCAGAAGCAGGCCAUGCAGAUACAACAGGGCUUGAUUCAGGUUCUUCUCUACGGGAAGGGCGGCUUCCAUGGCAUCCUGGGUUUUACCCCACUCAUCUUGAGAGGGCUUCUGCAUGUCCAGCAAGAGGGUGCGGCCGCCACACUGGUUUUGCAGUUUCAAGAGACGCUCCUCACCCUCGCGCUUCUCCUUGGCCAGUUCGCGAAAAAAGUGACCCACGCCCUCCAGGGCCACAUCGUCAGCAGGAGCCCAGAGAGAGUCUUGCAGCUGAGAGUCAAAGAAGUUAAAACUUGGCAACAGUAUCAUCUAAGCGGCUGUGUUGUCGUGGGGUCCACAUUCAUGGCGUGAGCCACGUUGGAGACAUCAUUGCUUCAUUCCAGA
rnacentral:lncRNA from 1 species